rnacentral:rRNA from 1 species
AACGAACGCUGGCGGCAUGCCUAACACAUGCAAGUCGAACGAGGCCUUCGGGUCUAGUGGCGCACGGGUGCGUAACGCGUGGGAACCUGCCUUUAGGUUCGGAAUAACAGUGAGAAAUUACUGCUAAUACCGGAUGAUGUCUUCGGACCAAAGAUUUAUCGCCUUUAGAUGGGCCCGCGUUGGAUUAGCUAGUUGGUGGGUAAAGCCUACCAAGGCGACGAUCCAUAGCUGGUCUGAGAGGAUGAUCAGCCACACUGGGACUGAGACACGGCCCAGACUCCUACGGGAGGCAGCAGUGGGGAAUAUUGGACAAUGGGCGAAAGCCUGAUCCAGCAAUGCCGCGUGAGUGAUGAAGGCCUUAGGGUGUAAAGCUCUUUUACCCGAGAUGAUAAUGACAGUAUCGGGAGAAUAAGCUCCGGCUAACUCCGUG